AGAAGCAUGCACUUCUGUAUGCAGGGCAUGCUGGGACGUAUGAGGAGACCAAACUGCUAAAUGGUGAACUUUUGACUGGGUUUACGUGGAAAAAGGAAGCCUAUGGGAGAUGGAAGCAGGAAUAGGCUGUUCAAGAGAGUAAAGAAGGAAUGCACAGGCAUGUAGAGGUUAAACUAGAAAAGAAAAAGCUUAGCCAGAGUAAAAUCUGGUGAAGGACAUGAAGGGGUACAAGAAGGACUUCUAUUGGAACAAAAGCAGCAAGAGGAAGACUAAGGCCAAGUGGACAAGUGACCUAGUGAUGAAGGAGAUAGAAAGGCUGAGGUGUCCAUGCCCCAGUCUUUUGUGGCUAGGUCUGUUCUCAGGCUUCCCAUGUGUUUGGAGGAAUACAGCCAAGGUUAGAGGAAGACUUAAGGGAUUACUUAAGUAACCUGAACACAUAGCCAAGCAGGGUGCAUGGCUGAUAUCCCUGCAAAGCUGAUCUUUAUCUGUUCAAAAGAUUGCAAUGAUCAGAAGUUCCCAAUGACUGCAGAAGCAAAUGUCACACCCAUCUUCCAGAAAGCCAAGGGAGAAGAGCUGGGGAGAUACAGGCCAAUUUUCUUCAGUCCUUGUGAAGAUUAUGAAGUAAAUCCUUCUGUAAACCAUAUCCAGGCACAUAAGAGAGAAGAAAGUGAUAGGGAAAAAAACAAGUACAAAUUGUGCUUGACCAACCUAAUUGCCUUCUACAAUGUAAUGACUGGAUCUGAAGAUUAGGGCAGAGCAGUGGAUGUCAUUUACCUUCACUUUUGCAAGCUUUUUAUUCUGUCUCUUGCAGCAUCUUUGGAGAGAUAGAGACUAGCUUCAUGAAUUACAAAGGGUAAGGGAGAACACCAGAUAAUUCCACCAAGGUGCAGGUCCAUGCAUAACACAAUGCCAGCCCAGAACUGUUCAGUGGCUGCAGCACAGAGGACAUGGUCCUCAGACCCACUUGUUAUUGUGUCAAGAAGCAGCUGAAACAUCCAUUUAUAUGAGAGAAUCCAACCUUUCAGCAAGGAAUCAUGGUCUGAGGGAAGCCAUGUGGAGGACAUGGGAGUACUGGUGGACGAAAUAUUGGACAUGACCUGGCAAUGUGCUCUUGCAGCCCAGAAAGCCAACCAUAUGCUGGGCUGCAUCAAAAGGAGUGUGACCAGCAGGUCAAGGGAGGUGAUUCUCCCCUCUACUCUGCUCUCGUGAGGCCCCACCUGCAGUACUGCAUCCAGCUCUGGGGUCCCCAACACAAGAGGCACAUGGACCUGUUGGAGUGAGUCCAGAGGAGGGUCAGGAAGAUGACCAGAGCACCUGGCUGGAGCACCUCUGCUAUGAAGAAGGGCUUAGAGUGUUGAGGUCCUACACCCUGGACAACAGCUGGGAAGGUUAGUUGGUUCAGGCUGAAAGUAGGACAGGGAACAUUUUAACUUGCUAGUAUAGAUGAUUUCAAUUCAGGAUUGUGGAACACUCCCCGAUGCCAAUUUAUUAGUGGGCAAGUAGGCUUCUACUGAUGCCAGGUUUUGUUCACACCAUCAGUAAGUUUCAUGUCCAAACCUACUAUCAUCAUUGUGUGCAUUGCCAGAGCUGCAGGACAGAUCGUGUGGUGUGGCUACCUCUCUGCUUUGCCAUAUGGAAGCCGCAAACACAUGAAUACUUCAAACGUUGCUGAAGUAAUCUCAAAGUAUUAUUCACACAAUUCCCUUUAUGCUUUCAUUCUCUCUCCUUUUUUUUUGUCAUUCUCCCAUGUAUGAAUAACUUCCUGAUGUGUUGUCAAUUUGUAUGAUGUUUCACUCUCCAUUUCCAUAUGGCCCUCUCCAUUUCCUCCACAGUUCAUUGCUAAUAUGCCAGCCAACAAAAUAUGCCAGGUCACCUUUCUGCUGCUAUCUGGGUCAUGCUAUGGUUUGAGUUAACUGCUGGUGUGAGCAACUAACAGCCAACUCCUUCAGCCACCAUUGCCUACGGUGACAUAACUAUGAACAGAAGUUUUCUCAUCCUUUUCCUGGAUGAUACAGGUGAAAGUAACUGAGAGGUUGCAUGUUAAGGGCAAAGAGGAAGGAGAACAGAACACAAUGACCAUGGGUCUCAAGAUCAGCCUCUGGAAGUGGCUGCACUGGAAGGUGUUCUGCUGAAUGCUACAAGUGCUGGACAAAGUAAAAGCUGUGGACAUGUCUUGGAGAAUGAUCUGUGGCCAGAAGAAGGUCCAUGGAUCCUUUUUACUCUUGUCAUGGGUGAAUUGUAACAGAACAGAAAGAGACUCCUAAAUUUGACUCCAGUAUCCAGCUUUCUGCACUGGAUUUAUUACUGUUUUACAGCUAGGGAUUGUAUUUGGCAUUGUAUAAAGGUGGG